CUGGCAGGUUUUUUCUCUUGUUGCCAGAGAGCCUUCUAAGCUUACAUGACAGGAGAAAGGGGAGCUACCAUGGGACGGUCAAGUAGGGCUAUCUUCACAUAGGCCCCAGCCAAUGCCCCCUCAUCAUGGCCCCAGAACCCAAGUCUUUAGGCUUAGAGACCCCAAGCAGUAGCAGGUCCAAGGAGGUGAUGGAUUCGUUCCCCAUCCCACCCCCAGUAGGCCUGCCAGCACCAGAUUCUUCACUGAGACUCCUGAACCCUGAAGGUGUAACUUUGUCUACCAGCUUCUCAGAGAAUCAAGAAAGUCUUGUGGAGCAUCCACUGACCAGGUCCCUGUAACCCCCAAUAACUACCAUGGGAUGGGGGGAAUUCAGGUAAGCGUGCAUUUAAAGCCAAAUCUAAUCAAAUUAGCACUUUCUGGAACAAUGUGUGGACACAGUUAUCCUUUGAUAUUUGCACUUUUGUGACAGAGUUAUCCAAUGUUUGCAAAACUGCAUACAUCGGGGAAAGCGUGUAUAAAAACAAAGGUAUUAGUAAAAAUCUCAUACAAAAACGCAUUGCUGUUGGGAAAAUUGCUUUGCAAAAAUGUGUACAUUAGUCAAAACUGCAUAUAAAAAUGUGUAUGAAGAGAAAUUCACACUAAAAUGCUGUUGAGGAGUCAACAUCAGCACCAAAGGACACUGACUCUUAAGUGACAGCGUAGCAUCAUGGGACACAGCAAGCCUAGGAUGUACUCUGUGUCCUGUACCUCUUUCUCGGAGGUAUAGCUUGGACUUCUUUUUAUGAACACAGGUAAAGGGUGGGGUUAUACAAUGACUGUGCCUCAUCCUCAACACACGAUAAACCCUGCAUCAGCACUAGUAAUAGCAAGCUAUGGGCACUGGCAUAUGCUGACCUUGGCACCUGGCCUAGCAACAGGCUACCUAUAGCCACUAAGAAAGUGAGGAGGGGCAACAAACACCCCAGGUCACCCAUCCCUGCUUCUAUACAUAAAUCAUCUUACCAGUUUCAGGGGGAAAUACCAGGUUGUCUUUCUCCAUCCAGAUAGAUAUUCCUUUUUAGUCUGGGGAGGAACUCAUAAGCAGCAUUGUUUCUCUUUUCCUGUUGUUAGCAUUUCACUCCCUUGUUUUAUAGAACAGCAUUCUUUUAAACGUUGGUUUGCAGGACAAAUCUUUAAUUAAAAGCUUGGAAUAAAAGUGUGCACUUCCAAAGGUUGAGAAAAUGCCCAGUCUUAUAGACUGGCCCUUUUAUUGCCUUUGAACACUUUUAGCUUUGAAUUUUUGCAAAUCAUUCUAAAGUGUAAAAUUGGGUUGCAAUUAUGAAUAUUGCUGCCGCUGCCGUUGCUGCUUGCUGCUGCUGCUGCUGCUGCUGUUUUGCUAUGCAACUUGGAUGGGAUCACUUGUUUCUUUGAUACUUAAGAAGCUACGGUUCGCAGAGUCAACACUUUCAUCUCAGAAGAAAGGAAGCAGGUUCAAUAGGCAACCAAAAUAGCAGCAGCAGCAACUUAGUAUAAAAGCUGGAAAGAAGGAAAUGAGUAAACAAAUCUGGCAAAACCCAAUCACAUUAACAAAAGCUACAUACGGCAAAGAAAGUGAGGUCCCAAUCUCUAAUCCUCUCCCUGCAUAGCUGUGCCUCCUUAUUGUUCUACAUACCCUGUAUGUUGUAUUCCAAACAUUUGUAUUUCCCUGAAGUGCUGAUAAAGAAGAACAGGGACAUUUAGAGUGAAAAGUCAUAUCCCUUUAUCUCUAUCCGAAAUAAGAAUGUGGUUGAGAACAAAGCAAGCUCUGCACUGUGCUUUCAGGCUUCAAACUUCUUGUCUUUCUUUAGUAGCUCUUUCCUAAGCUUUUUGUACAAUACACUUGAAAGGCUUACCUUUCAAAGGAUUGCCCCCGUAAUAUCCAGAGUACAGAUCAGGGAGGUUUCGCAACAAGUCACAGCAUCUGAGAUCAAGCACUAGCAUUUUCACCACCAAUGUUGAAUAUGGCUUCCAAGUCACAUGGGACAUACCUUCCUAGAUCUUACCAGUCAGCAUAACAAAAUUCAGCAGUCUGGGCCCAUCACGCAAACUGUAAAUGGUAACCCAACAAGAAUCUUUGUGAUUGCCCUGCUCCAUUUUUCACUUGGGCAAAUGAGGCAGCACCUGAAAUUCUAAAGUAAUGGCUCACCCCACAGCUUAGUUUUAACAGAGAUGAUUUUCAAAGUCUUUUCUGCUGAAAGGUUACUGCCAUGUAUUUUAUCCUUCCAGGUAGCAUUUAUCUGGCAAAAGAGGAGCAAGAUUGCUGUCACUUAGAAGUUGGUAUCUAGACCACUAUUGGCAAAUAAUAGUGACAGGAAGGUAACAGGAACACUCUAUUUCCUUUCUUCUCACCUGUGUCAAGGCCAGUAAUAUUGGUAUCUGCAUGAAUAGACACAAACUCAAAUGACCAUGAGUCCAGAGUUAUAGCUUGACUUUCAAUAUAUUACUCAAUAUUCAUUGGAAACAAAGAGAGACAAUCUGUGCUAAAAGCCAGGUUGGGUGAGUGAUGAGAAAACAAAAAGAACCUCUAAGUUUACCUUUUUCUACUGCAACUUUCCCCAGCCUGGUGUCUAGGCAUGGGAGAAAAAUCUGAUUCAGUUCACAAUUAAAGGUAAAUUUACCUAAUUCACACGUUCUGAUACAAUACACAAACGGAAGCGCAGCCAUCUUUUCAAACUGGCAGUUCUCCAGAGUUUGAAACAUGGUUCUCAAGCCAAAAAUGCAUGUACAAAAAAAUGCAUAUACUAGGGUGAAGUCUGCAAGAACAUGCAUAUAUUAGUGAAAAUAACACACACAAAUACAUUUUAUUAGGGAAAUAUGAGGCAAAAUUGCAUGCAAACUGAAUUCACACUAAAAUGCUGGUGAAUUUUCAGGAGGACUUAAAAAAAUACAAAGUAAUGUGAAAUGAUGGACGACAUUGGAGGCCCUGCCAGGCCUCUGAACACAACUUCCAGUAGAAACUGGAAGUCACGUCAGAGGUCUUGUGACACCUCAGACAUAACCUCUGAGACCCUGUGAGACCAAGGAAGCACUGCCGUGCCACUGACACAACAUGACGCCAUGACGCCACAUUAUGUCACAGGCACCACUGGCCACCCAUAACCUGGGACCCAAGUCAGUCCUUCUGUCUAGCCCUAUAUACAAAAAAACAGAAAUGCACAUCUCAAAGUACUUUCUUUCAAAAAAAAAAUACAUUUCUAAACUUAUUUGAUCCCAAAAUGGACAUUUUGGUACAUUUUUAGCCAAUAAUUGCACUCCAAAAUUUAGAGAUGUACAAAAUCUGAAUAACUAUGCAUAUCAGUCUAGAGAAUGCAAAUUGGGUUGGUUCGAGUUGGAAUUUACAAAGAUUGCAUUCUACAAGUACCUCUGCUUCACUCUCAAUACAAUGACUGCUCUGUGUUCUGCUUCUACCAUCGAAGGCAGAAUGCCUCUGAAUGCCAGUAGCUGGGAAUCAUGAAUGGGGAGAGUGCCACUGCGUUCAGGUCCUGCCUGCAGGCUCCCCUUAGGCAUCUGUCUGGUCACAGUGAGAACAGAAUGCUAGACUACCUUGGCUUGUGGCAUGAUCUAGCAGGACUCUUCCUUUAUUCCCUAUAAUUUAAUCUGUUCACCACUGGCUCUGUGGCAAUAGCAAAACAUAUUCAUUAGAAUUCCGAACAUUGCCAAGGUCAAUUUCCCCAAUAGGUACUUCCAACAAAAUGCUUGCUUCUUUCCCUCUAAUAAGAAGGCAGGCAACUGGCUUCCAGGCACAUCGAGGCAGGCCCCCCUGGCUGCUGUUCAUUUUCUGUAAUCAUACAUUGCUUCAGGUGCCACUUAUUUCCAUUCUCUGUGUUUCUGUUUAUUUGAGCUCAUCGUACUUGCUUAGCACAAGCCUGUCUGACAUUGAUCAAUCAUUCAGAUCUUUUUCAGAUUGACAAUCUAAUGUGUGUUUAUCAUUAAAUUACCAUUCUAUUCGGGGGAGUUCUAUUUGUGUUUUCUUCUUUCUUUUCUUUCUUUCUUUAAUAAAUUUGCAAUGUAUAUUUCUGUUUUGUAAUAAACUCCAUAUUCUUCUAUUCUAAACUUUGGUCUGCCAUCUUGUGGCUUAUUCCCCCUUCCUUGCAGAAUUUGCUCCGUGGCACACCAUGACUCCUAGCUAAAGACAAAACAUGUUCUUCCAGUACAUGCAUAUUUCUCAACAUAUGUGGACAAAGAUACACAUUAGGAACAUAAAACAAGAUUAAACACCUUCACCACAGCACCACUUUCUUGAGCUGAUUGUCCCUCCAUCCUACAUAGCAGCACUGAACAAAACAAGUGUGAGAUGCAAUCAUAGAUCUCAGUGUCUUGCCUAUUUUAACUAUGAAUUCAUUUCCUUCCACACAAUGAAACUCUAGACAUUUUAAUUAACAUCCACUGAGUUCUGCUUACAGCCCAAUCUAUUCCCACUUUCUCUCCCACUACUUCAUUAAUUCCAAUACCUUUAACAUCUUUAUAUGGGUGACCAAAGCCUCGUAUUUGAUUCAAAAAGCUGUGUUGCUUAUUCUGCCAUUUUAAUGUGCCUAUGUGCAUUAAUUAUCCACAUGUAUUUAAUGAACAAUCAAUAUUUAGCUUCCUCCCCCAAUAUACUCCAAAUAUGUUAUACUGCAGUGAAAUUCUCAUUGUUUUAUGUAAAUGCAGUAACCAAGGCAGAAGAGAUUUUUAAUAUGUGGGGGUGUUAAAUAUAUUGUAUUUUAGUACUUUUAUAAAAUCUUACUUGCUUCCAAAAUCAUAAGAAGAGGCUGCUGGAAGAGGCCAAUGGCCACUCUCCCUUCUUCCGGCAUGCAGCAUCAGCAUGAAAUCACAAUGGUGCCUUAGUGUGACUGUGUUACUAAAGCAGACAGCAGCAGCAGUAGUAGUAUGUAGGCACAACCUCUCUCUCUCUCUCUCUCUCUUUCUCUCUCUCACACACACACACACACACACACACACAGGCAUAUAGUUGGCUAUAUACAAGAGCAUGUAAAACAGUUUCCAGUCCACAGGUAUGGAGGUAGUUCUUAGGGACAAGUUCAACCAGCAAUUUCACAUUUGAAUUCUUUGAGAUCUCUCAAGUGGAUGCCCUUCAGAUCCAACAAAUUUCCCUUUUCUAUUUUGCCUAUUAGGCCCAGAACUUUGUCUCUCAUCACCACCAGUUCUUCAAACACCCUUCCAGCAAAAGUUAAUUCAGACAUAGGGACCUGCCCUAUGUCUUCUGCUGUGAAGACAGAUGCAUAGAAUUCAUUCAGCUUCUGUUUCUCUUCCUUUAACAGACCUUUGAUUCCUUUGACAUCCAAGGGUCCAAAUGCCUCCUUAACCAAUUUUCCUAUUAAACACUGAGGUGUAUGGGGUGUUAGCAGAGAAGCAGUAUCUCUGGUGGGGGACAUGACAUGCUGUUUCUGGGGCAGUUCCCCCACCAUUUGUCCCCCCCUCCCUGCAUUCAGCUCUCAUCUGUGGCUCCUAGAAGCUGCCAGCAUGCGACAGAGGCCAUACCCCAGGAACGGCUUCUGCUAAACCAGGUGAGGUUAGCCGAUGGGUCUCAACCCUCAGUGAGUUAGGGACUUCCCCUGCAUGCAAAGACACACUUUGGUGGAUUUAGCGGACGAGACCAAUAGUGGGUCCACAGGUCAAUAAAGCUGUUUCUGCAUGUGCCGUAGAGGGAAGUGAGGGGCAGAUGGAGCUUGUAAACCUGGGAAGGUAGCCCAUCUAUGAGAAGUAAAACUCUGAUCCUAAACCUCUACAGCCUUGCAGUUACACUCAUUCAUGAGAAAGGCUUCAGGAGUAAACCCUGAGGAAAAAUAUGUACUCUGCUGCCUUGUGGGACAUCUUUGGGAAGAAAAGGCUAAGAAAUAAACCCAACACAAAUCCAGAGCGACGUCCCUAAGAUGGUUGGAUGGCAUCUUGUAUGCCUCCUUCUGGCAACUCCUGCAGCCGAACUGGUGCCAAAUGUAUUGUUUUCCUUUCCUUUGGCCCACAUCAGAAAGGGAGAGAGGGGAAGUCUUGUCGUCUGAGCAGCCCAGGACCUCCAAUACACACUGCCCGGGCUUUUGUACAGGACAGGUCACUUCCAACAGCUUGACCUCACCCCCAAAGGCGCACUCCUCCAUUGUUUUCCAAGACAGAUGGAUGCCAGCAGGUUAUUACACACUGCUAUUUGUUAUUGAUAAAAAGAAUCUCACAAUUCACUUAACGUUUUAAAGAUAAAUCAAACCCAGCAUUCUCAAUUUAAGCAAAAGCCUACUAGUAAAUAAGAAAGCAGCAGCAAAGUGGUGAUUUUCUCCCCCUUAUUUCUAAAGGAGAAAAAAUUCUUCUGAAUUAUGUGCUGCAUCUCAAGACACCUGUGGAGGCUAACAAUAUAUAUUCCUUCAAUUUAAGAAUCUCACAAUACUUGCUUGUUUUCUUGAAAAAUUAAGUAAGCUAUUGCUGAGCCAAUUUCUCUUUUUCGCUCUUUUCCAUUACGCUUUCAAAAGCUAUGUUACCCUUCAGCUAUUAUUUUUGCAAUUAUAAUCAGAACCAUGGACAAGUCCAUGACAGCAAUUCAUUCAGAAGCAUCCAGGCAUUUGGAGUGCUAUAUUUAAUGUUGCAGCUUUUAAACUUUCCAGGCAUUGCAACCAACUUUUAUUUUUUACACUAUAUUUAUGGGCUUAAGCUGCAACGCUAACGACGUUUACACAGAAGCAACUCCCAUUGAAUUCAGUGGUGCUUACUCCCAGGUAAGUGGGGUUUGGAUUGCAGCCUUACAUACUUACCGAAAAUUUGUAGCCUAUGUUUCAUCCAUCAUGGAACCUAAGGCAGUGUGUAUGUGGUUCUGCAUGGGUCAUGCUACCCAGACACUGACCAGAUCCAGAACUAAUUAGCUUCAGCAAGGUGGAAGCCUGAUGCACCUUCAGACCAUACCCUAGCAUGUUUCUCUUGUAUUGUUGUUCUCUUUCUUCCCUUAAUAAAGUGAAUGGUUGAUCAGCUGAUUUGACCAAAGGUACGUGGGAGUGACCCAUUUAUGAAUCCCCCAACCUACCAGUUGAAGGCGAAUGUCUUAGAAAAAAAUGACAGUUCUUAUUAAGACUUGCCUCUCUCUAAUUUUGUUAGACCCUGCUUUUUUCUGCCUCUUCACUCUGAGUGAUAUGAAUGGUGCCACUGCUGAAAUAUUUAAUCAAACUGCCAUGUCUCCCUUCUCCAGUUGUUUUCCCCAUUACAAAUGGCUAUUCUUUGCCUUCUAAAGUUCAAAGUACACUUCAUUGCUUCUCAUUGAUCACUCAAACUGGAGAAAAUAAAUCAUUAUUGAGCUCUCAGUAAAUCACUCAGAGUGUACAAGAGGGCUUGAGGAAUUUACAGUGCAAAAUUGCAAAACAGAGAAAUAGAUUUCGGAAGUAAAUUCUGUUCCUAGUCUGGGACCAUGGAGAAAGGAAAGCUCAGGAUAGGAGGGCAAGCACAGAAGAAUGUCUGAGACUUUCAUGCCAGUAUUAGAGACUAAAAGCAUAUUUGAUAAGAUAUGGGGUGUGUGGAAAUUACAUCCUUUUUCUGGGUCAGUUAAACCAAGACUGCUGUAGGUCAUUAUUUGCUCAUUCUGGAACCAAAUAUUUAAAUGUUUCCAUACAUAAUUUUUGGUCUGGUUCAAGUGUGGGGAACCUUUGGCCCUCCAGAUGUUGCUGAACUGCAACUCAUCAGCACACACACAAUGUUGCAGUUUUGUAGUUCUUAUUUAAGAAUUAGAAAGGCAAUCACAACUGAGCCACCAAACAGAAGAUGCACCUAUUUUAAGGUGAGAUAUGAGAUAUGAAAGAACCUCAAUUAACACCCCCAAUUCUGGGGUUUUUCAGCUUUGCCCCCCUUGGGGGAAAUCCAAAAAGAAGAACCAGUGAAUUGUUUUGUGGAGUUAAGGAUGAGGCACUAGUUCACUAAUCCUCCUUUAAUAUGACCCUCCAGGAGAACUAACCAGAUCUCUCUUCAGACUACUAUAGCUCUGCUGUAGUAUAUAUGACACUUGGACAAUUCAUUUCAGUGGGAUCAACGUGAGGUUCUUUCAUAUCUCAUACCCCAUCAGAACAUAAAAGUUGCUUUAUUUGCCCAGUACUGCCUAUUAUGACUGGCAGCAGAUCUCCAGCAUUUCAAUCAUAGGUAUUUCUCAUCACCUGCUACCUGAGCUUCUCAUAACUGCAGAUGCCAGGCUCUACCACUGAGCCUCUAUGCAACUCACAUACACCACAGAGAUUCUGACACACAUCCAAACCUCACAUUAGACACAGUCAACUUAAUAUGAUAAUUUAAUUUCAAACCAAAAGAAGUCUUCUUUUUGACGUUUCAAAUGCCACUUUUCUAAUUACAAAACUACUCUGCACAAAAUGAUGCUGUCUGAGGCAAGCCUAAAUCAAAUGUAUCACUUCUGUGAAGCCGUAAGUAUGCAGAAAAAUUCAUUAAAGGAUAGAAACCUUUUAUAUUUCCUAAUGAUGGGGAGAAAACACCACAAGGCUGUAGCAAGAGAACAUACAUUUUCUUCUCUCUCCUUUAUUGAGCAACUCUGCCUGGAAUAAUAGCUAGAAGUGCUCCGGUGACCCAGCCCAUUCUGUAUUACUGCUCACUUCAAUUACUUGUUCCAUGUGUCUUCAUCUUACAACCCAUUAAUUCAUAAGUUCUCAGUUUCACUGAAAAAGUCUCAGCUAACAAAUGGACUCCUAGUUCCGUGGAAGUCAAUUCCACACCAAAAUGAUUCUCAAUUCCUUAUAUGUAGCAUUUCUGCAUUGUCCCCUCAAGCUGAAACAGUAUUUGGGGGCGGGGGGAGAAGGACCAGCUGCUCCUCAGUUCUCCAAAAAUCAACAAGUGAUACUUACAUAAACUGGACAAGAUCAUGUGUCAUCUGGCCACCUGCAGACACUAGGAAAGUUAGGGUGUGAUCAAAAUAUUCUCAUGCAAUUUCAUUAAAGGCCAUUGUUCUACAUAAGGUGAUUCAUUCGUUGGUAACCUCAAGACUUGACUGUUGCAAUGAGCUCUAUCUGCAUCCAACCCUUGGGCCUAGUCCAGAAACACCAAAUGAUACAAAAUGCUGCAGGCUAGAUUGUUGGCAGGGCAGAAAACUACUUGUAUGUAACUUCAGUGUUUAAAAACUUGUACUGGCUGUCCAUAUGUUACAUGGGCAAGUUGAAGGUUCUAGUAUUAACUUAAACAUCCCUUAACAACUUGGGUCCACGAUACCAUAAGGACUGUCUGAUUUUUCAUAUCUCUGCCUGGACAUUGAGAAGUCUCUGUUUUAAAUAGCCUUUUCAAAUCUCCUUUUUGUUUUACAUUAUUCUCCAUGGGUCUCUGAUGCUUUCUCUCCUUAAGCCAGGGCUGCUAACCCUUCAGUGCUGUUCGUCCAUUAGAGAAACGACUGACAGGCAAAAAGCAAGAAUGGCACAGAGAGGGAAUGGUUACCAACAGAAACCAGAGGGCAACAAUCCCAUAUCCCAGAGAGCUCUGAUGGAUCAUGGUGCCCUCCUGCUGCUUUUAACAGAAAAACAGAUGUCAGGAGAUCCGCAGUGUGAAUAUUGGCCUCAAGUAGCUACCCACUUGAAUACUGUAGCUUAGAAAUAAUUAAAAUCACACCAUACACAGUCUUCAGUGAUAAGAUAGCUAAAGAUGUCAGUCAAAUGGAAAUGUUUGGGUUGUAACUCGUUGAAGACUUCAGAAUUCAACACUUAUCCCAACUUCAUGACUAUGUCGGAGAAGGAUCAUCACUCUACUGAAAGUACAGCAUAUGCUUUGUGCUCAGAACAUCUCAGAUUCAGUCCCUGCCUUCUCCAGGUAGGGAUAAGAAAGACCCCUGCCUGAAGCCCUAAGGGGCCAGAGUGUUGGCUGCUGCACUAGAUUGGUUCAUCUAGUUUAGAUUGAUUUUAGGGCAGCUUCCUGUGCAAUAAAGAAAACAGAACAUGAUGAGAGUAGUCAUAAAUCUCCCUGCAUAACUAUGGUAUAGACUAAUGAUCUGACUCAGUAUAAAGCAAUAUCUGAUGCUCCUAAGCUUUGCUCAAAUGCAAAGAAGAAAGUGAUAGCAGUAGGAAUAUUAUCAAAGUGCAGGUCUGUCAUUGUUUGCACAUCUUGUUGUCAUGUCUAGAUCUCAUCAUAGUGUUAAACUUACAUGAGAAAUAUUGGGGAAAGUACAGGUUCACUCUCAUCCCAUGAUGAUUGCUUAGCUUUGAUGAAGCAAUAUAUGAUAACUAGACAUUGCAGAGUGUAAUGAAGCUACUGCCUUGAACGGUUCAGCUGAGUUUUUUCAUCGUUUCCAUGUGGAGACAAAUUCUAAAACUAUCUUGCAUGUCAUCAAUGCUACAGAGACGGUUCCCCUCCCCCCCCCAGAUGCAGAUGUUUUAGUGCUUUCUGCAAGACUGACCAAAACUGCUGUAAGAUUUUUUUCUUUCUUAUUGCCGCUAGUAAAUCAAAACAUUUCCUAUUCCUCAGAGGUAUGUUCCUACUACUCAAUUCACAAAAAGCUACUGUGCUCCCAGAUUUCCAUGCUUUUUCAUUAUAAUGAACCACCUGUAUGUAAGACAUAUGAUAUACCUAUACAUAAAAAUCACUUUGGGAUGCCUCAAAGGAAGUUAGCUUUAGGCACCAGGCAAAAACAUUCCUUUAAGCAGGCCUUUGGCUGACUGACAGCUGAUGCACUUUUAAAUGUGUUGUGGAAGUCCGCUCACCUCUCUUGGUGUGGUGGCAUUGCUGGACAGAAGGGGUUUCACUGGGGCCCCAACUGUGAAAUUCAAAUGGCAGUGCCCUUCUUGAUAGGUAGAGGGAGUAUGUGCCCCCACCGCCUAUCAGGAGCUGGAUCUUAGCCUGCACCCUGCAUUGGCCAAUGGGGAUGCAGACUGGAACGUGGGCGGAGCCAGUGGAGCCGACGGUGGGUUUCCCUUUGAUCUGCCCCCUGCCCAUUUAAGCAGCCCACAGCCUGCUUGUUCCUGCACCAGGUUUUCCCCCAUCCCACCCACCCAUGGUUUACACUGAUAGACAAUGACUUUGCUGUGGCUACAGUGUCUGCCGUUCUUUAUGGGGCCGGGUAGGAAUUUGCCCACCAGGAUAACUGGCUCUUACACGGUGGUUUUGCCUACUUCAUAGCAAUUCAUCACAACUGGUUGAGCAUUGGGGCAAUCCCUUGUUUUGGAUGGAGGGGAGGUUGUAGUCCCUGCCUGCCUCUCCAAAAGCUGGGGUAUUCCGUUAAAGAGAUCUGGGGGGAGUGGCCGUGUCCGCAUGCCCAGGGGGGCCAGAGCCAAAGGCAUUCCCCUAGAAGAAGGUCCCUGCAAUGUAGGUCUUAGGAAUCCCCACCUGGAUUGACCACGUGUCACUUCCAGCAGGUGGGCCGGAAGUAUUUAGAUUGCCCCAUGCUCAAGCCAAACCUCUUUCAUCUGUAUUCAGUACAAAACCCAGUCUUAUUGGUCUCUUAUUUAUAUGGGUUGGGGUAUGGGAAGUCUGAUGCCUUGUCCUGCAAGGGAGGGAUUAUUGGGUUGUCUUUGUUCUUAUUUUUAUUAUGUAUUUUGUGUUUUUUAUAUUGUAAUUUUAUGUUGUGAACUGCCCUGAGAUCUAGGAGUAUAUGGUGGUAUACAAAUGUAAUAAUAAAUAAUAAAUAAUAUUCAUAGAUAAAUAUAAUAGCAGCAGCAUUGUAGAUGUAUUUCAAGCAUUGGGCUUUGUACAUAUUUCUUGAACAUAUACUUAUAUAAUUGCUCUUGCUCAAUUAUAUUUGAUACCAUUACAUUUGUGAAUGAAAAGAUACCUAACUUGAUCUAGUUCCGAUUGUCAUGAUGUCCAGUAACCAAAAGUACUGCGUCUUUGAAGACCUCCAGCUCCCCAACGUCCCCCCCCUUCUGAAGGGAAUGACGCCAUUGAAACUCUGGUUCUGUUGAUUAUUUUUAAUCAAAUGACACCUCCCUUGUCUAUCAAAAGUUGCCCAUGGAAUUAUAUAUGUACCCAAUAGUGACAUCUUCAACAACAACAAAAUCCUGUCUAGUCUUCAGGGUUGUUCUACAGUGGAAGUCAGUUUAGGGGCAGAAUACAACAAAAACGUGUUUUAACAACAGGAACAACAACGUAGAACAAGAUGCUACACAUUACUAAGACUGAUGCCUGUGGUUAUUUACUUCCAGAAUUAGCCUGUAGGCAUAUGUAUUUGAAACUUAGCAAAGGAACACUAUACACAGGUUUUAUACUAGUUUAACAAUAAUAGCUUCCCCUAAUCCAGGGUUCACCAACCACUUAUGGGCAUAUUUGCAAAAGGGAGAGAUUGUCAUGAGAAGCACACACCACAAGGAAGCACACAUUGAAACCUCUUCUAUUGGCUAUAACAGAAUGCUACUUUCAAGCCUAAUUUCAGUGGGGAAAGCAGAAUGGACCCUGUGGGCACCAUGGAAAUCCACCAUAGACACAUUUGGACCCACAGGCACCAUGCUGACCCCUGCCACAAAUAAUCCUGGUAUCCUAGUUUGUUUCCCUAGCACCCCUCAGAGUUUUCCAGAUCUUCUGGCAGAACUACAGGCCAUAGAGCUCCCCCUGGAGACCAGACUCCUCCAGCAUAUCAACCAUCCUGUGCAGUUUUGGGCAAUAGUUGGGAAAUUAGAAAAUUGGCUUGGACUAGCUCUUCCUUUUUCUUUACUCUAAUUCAGAAAGCCAGAGAGUGAAAGGAACAGUGGACGGCUAAUUUGCUUAAAGCCUGCUGUUCUGCAAUAUCCCUUUUCAAGCAAAAGCUGGGAAAUAGCAUUUGACAUCCAGAAGCAGCUUGUAUCAAUUGAGAUUGGUAAGAGCAAAAUGUGCGAAAAUAACAAACCAUGUGAAAUCAAACACAAUUGAAUCCCUGCUUCCAACCCCAUCUCCUGCUUCCACCCAGCCAAGGAAGGCAAAUUUUGGAUAGUUAAUUCUUUAUUGACAAAUGCACACACUUACAGCUGCUCCUAAGCUGCAACCAAAGCACACACACACUCCUAGAGGUCUCUUUGUUGUUGUUUAGUCGUUUAGUCAUGUCCGACUCUUCGUGACCCCAUGGACCAGAGCACGCCAGGCACUCCUGUCUUCCACUGCCUCCCACAGCUUGGUCAAACUCAUGUUCGUAGCUUCGAGAACACUGUCCAACCAUCUCGUCCUCUGUCAUCCCCUCCUCCUUGUGCCCUCCAUCUUUCCCAACAUCAUGGUCUUUUCCAGGGAGUCUUCUCUUCUCAUGAGGUAGCCAAAGUAUUGGAGCCUCAGCUUCAGGAUCUGUCCUUCCAGUGAGCACUCAGUGAGCACCAUUUCCUUAAGAAUGGAUAGGUUUGAUCUUCUUGCAGUCCAUGGGACUCUCAAGAGUCUCCUCCAGCACCAUAAUUCAAAAGCAUCAAUUCUUUGGUGAUCAGCCUUCUGAGUCGAGCUCUCACUUCCAUACAUCACUACUGGGAAAACCAUAGCUUUAACUAUACAGUGGUGCCUCGCAAGACGAAAAGAAUCCGUUCUGCGAGUCUCUUCGUCUUGCGGUUUUUUCAUCUUGCGAAGCAAGCCCAUUAGCGGUUUAGCGGAUUAGCGCUAUUAGCGGCUUAGCGGGCUUAGCGGAUCAGCUGAUAAGCGGCUUAGUGGCUUAACGGAUCAGCUGUUAAGCGGCUUAGCGGAUCAGCUGAUAAGCGGCUUAGUGGCUUAACGGAUCAGCUGUUAAGCGGCUUAGCUGAUCAGCUGAUAAGCGGCUUAGUGGCUUAAUGGAUCAGCUGUUAAGCGCCUUAGUGGAUCAGCUGAUAAGCGGCUUAGCGGCUUAGCGGAUCAGCUGAUAAGCGGCUUAGCGGCUUGGGGAAAAGGGGGGGGGGAGGAAAAAAAUCCCGCAGGAACUCGCAAGACAUUUUCGUCUUGCGAAGCAAGCCCAUAGGAAAUUCGUUUUGCGAAGCACCUCCAAAACGGAAAACCCUUUCGUCUAGCCGGUUUUCCGUCUUGUGAGGCAUUCGUCUUGCGGGGCACCACUGUACAGACCUUUGCCGGCAAGAUGAUGUCUCUGCUUUUUAAGAUGCUGUCUAGGUUUGUCAUUGCUUUUCUCCCAAGAAGCAGGCGUCUUUUAAUUUCGUGGCUGCUGUCACCAUCUGCAGUGAUCAUGGAGCCCAAGAAAGUAAAAUCUCUCACUGCCUCCAUUUCUUCCCCUUCUAUUUGCCAGGAGGCGAUGGGACCAGUGGCCAUGAUCUUAGUGAUCCAUGAAGGAGAGAGUUCUCUUAGCUGGCCUUAACUUUUCCAGGUUCAUGCCCCAUGGAACAGCUGAAGCAACAGUGGCACAAUGCCCCCCUCUCAGGCUUACGUACCCUCAUCUGUCAGAGAGCACACAUGCAACCUGAGACUUCUCCUGCUUGGAAAAUGUUGCUGCUCUUCCCCCUUAAGCCCCUCCCUGUUGGGUUGAAAAUCACGACAGACGAGUGGCAGGUGUCAUAUGAGAGGCGUCUGCCAGGGCGAGCCCCAGGAACUCUCUUUUAUUGAAUAUUACAAACAUUGCCACACCUCCCUUCACCUCCCAAAUCUAGGAGACAGUGGGACAGGGGAUGGCAAGGUUUCAGUCAGCCCACCACUCACCUGAACAGUCUCUUCCCCCACUUCUAACCUGUCUUGUGCUCCCACCUUUGUCUCUGACUGCUCCAACCCUUCCUCUCCCCCCCCUCCUGUCUCAUGGGUAGCACAAAACCCCAUAAAUCACUGCUCCCCUCUCCUGGGUCAGUAUCCAGUCCCCUUGCCUCUGCCAGAGCACUGCCAGUCCCUGACACUCUAUCUUGCUUUACCACACUUGCAAUGGUUCUAGCUGGGAGAAUAGUUUGGCUAAGUAAAAGGGAAAAUUGGACUGUUGCCAUUAAUAAGUUGCCAUUGCACUGUCGCAAAUUAUCAGGCUUCUAGCUGAGAAGAUGAUUCCCACAGACUGAUGCAACAAUAGCAUUUUUUGGCUUUUAAGAAAAACUUUUCUAUUGAAAGCAUCCAAAAUCAAAACAGAGUUCUGUCUGGAAAAUGUUCACAAGAAGCCCUGUCUCUUCAAAGAGAUGCUCUUGCAUGCUUAAGUACAUGUAACAUCUAACAACAACAACAACAACAAAACACCACCAGCUCAUCUUAAACAUAAAAAUAAUCUAUAAAUUCUGACUUAAACCUAUGUAUUUACCGUAUAUAAGCAGUCCAUAUGUCCAAACAGAUAUCCAAACAAAACUGGUACAUGUUCAAACAUAGAAAAGGCAGUGAAAACUUCAGACUACCAAGCGGUGGAUGAUGUGAUUUUUAUCCUUCCAGCCUUUGAAGUAUUUUUUGCAACCAUAAGGGCUUAAUAGGAUCCACCUUUGUUGUCCAUCUGUUAAUCCCUCCAUUGCAGGAAUACAAUUUAAAAAUGUGUGAGCAUCUGCAAAUAUCGAGUUUUCCAAAACAAAGGUAAUAUGAAAAAUAAUUUCUGACCAGAAGGAAAAUGCAGCAUAAGGAACACCCACAUCAAAUCCUUCAAAGAGGCAUUAUCAGCAUUACAUCAUAGAACUGUAGAGUUCGAAGGGACCGUGAGGGUCAUCUAAUCCAGCCCCCUGCAAUGUAGGAAUAUGUGCCAGCACCUAUCUGUUCUAGUCAAUUCCUUCCUAUACAGGUGCUUAUGUAACUAACUGCAUGUUGCAUUGAUUGUGGGACUUGCAGCCACAUCACAGGAUUCUUUUUCAAAGAUGCAAUCGUAGAUAUAGGGGUGGGGCAGAGAUUUCCACAGGGACCAUAGUGUGGAGAGAGGGGAGGCUGGACCCUUAUCUCUGUGUCUAAUUGUUGACAUGCUGCAAUCAGCCUUAUGGUAGGGUUGCCGUAUUUCAAACAGUGAAAAUCUGGACAGAAAAGAGUUGUUGAGCUUUUUUUUAUGGAAAAGUGGCAAAAACGGCACUGCCGAGAUGGUAUGUCCAGGAAAUUCCAGACAUAUGGCAAGCCUACCUUAUGGGCAAAAGCUACUGCUGGCAUGCCACCUCUGGCCAGCUAGUCCAAUGGGGAAAUGGUGCAACCCUAUACAUCCUCCUGUUCUAUUGAGUACAAUGGGGCUUCCUCCCAGGUACAGUGGUACCUCCGGUUACGAACUUACCGUAAUUUGUUCUGAAGGUCUGUUCUUAACCUGAAACCAUUCUUAACAUGAGGCGUGCUUUCGCUAAUGGGGCCUCCCACUGCCGCUGUGCCACGUGACUUCCGCUUGCAUCCUGGGGCAAACUUUGCAACAAGGAGCAUCUACUUCCAGGUUAGCUCAUUACCCGAAAAGUUCGUAAGGAGGACAGUACAUAACCCGAGGUUCCACUGUAAAUGGGUUCAGGGUUCCAGCCUACAAAUAUAAGGAGGGAAUUUGAAAAUCACUUGCAGAAGCCAUAAUUUCAGGGUGAAAUACUAUACUAUGCACUGCAGCGACGACAAAACCGCAAUAUUGUAACACUGCAGGAAAAGCAUGACAUCUUAGAGCACCUUCAGAUUUAUAUUUUGAAUUCCUGCUGUUAAACAGUCUAUAGCACUUGAUGAAUUUGGAUGGAGGAGGAGGAGGAGAGUUACCUCUCCAUCUGCAUUCAUUGGCUACUAAGGGCUUCUCCAGAUGACCUAUUUAUUGUGCACACAUCCUGAUUUCCUUACACAGAAGUUAGAUUAAAGCUUUUCUUUAUGAAUCAUUUGUUCCGAUUUGUUUGUGUGGAGGCUCUAUGACAGUGAGUAUUCAUCAUGUAUUCAUCCUCAUUUGCUUGCAGGGUAUUUAUACAUCAUCACAUUAAUCUUGUUCGUUCCACACUUCUCAAUGCAUUUCCCCAUCACUUUCCUAAACGCAAAAAGUCCAUUUGUUUUGUAAAGUUGAUUUAUUGUGCUGCAAUUUCAGGGCACUUUAAAUCCACCUUAAUGAUGAGAGCCUAAAUUUCCCAGUUUGUGCUUGAAUCCCUCUAACUAAACACCGACAGUCUGCAGGCACCCUAAGAAAGGGAGUUUAGUAUUCUGGGGAGAUGUGGAUAAUUACUGAUCUGUGUACAUAAUUCCAUGUCACUGCUGCUAAUCUUAUGUUUAAUCUACACCAAUAAAAAAAACCAGCAUUUGCUACUGGCAACUCAAUAACAAAAAGCCCCUAUCAUUUGCCAGCUCAACCCUACUGUUUGUCAAACCUAUUUGGGGGGGGGAUGGUGUCAUUUACAGCACUUUUCAUUUUGUGUUGCCCUAAACACUAGCAGCUGGAUUGAGAUUGCUUUUUCAUAGUUCACAAGGGACAUUUACAGCUGUCGGAUCUAAGCAAGCCUUAACAACCAUUUCUCAAAGCAAGAUUUAUUUGAGGGCUAGCAUCUGGUGACAAACGCUGGCAGAAUAGAAAUAUACCUUGUACACUGGGUGCCUUGACCUCCUCCCAGUUUAUUAAUGUUCAUCUCUUCUCAUAACUCAAAACUAUAGCUCUAGCCAGUGCAGAAUUCUUCCCAUUGUGGACACACAGAGAAAUUUGUACUCUCUUCCUUGGCCUCUUCACAUGACAAAAAUGCUUUCAUUAAGAAGGAACAUACCUGUUUUCAACAAAUACAUAAAAUAUUUUAAUUUUUCUCCUCAUAGAAAUGGUAUUGGACCAACUAGCUUAAACCUUUGCAAGAUCUCGUUUAGACAGCCCGUGCGUAGAGCGAUGGAUUUGGAAAUGCAAAAGAAAGAAAGCCUUAUUAUGUCUCUGUGGGUUGUCAGAGAAUUCUAUUGGAAAUGGAAAUGAGAGUGUAAAUUGCUUCAAUUUGCAUGUUUGUCUGAGGUCAGGAAUGGAAAUUAUGCAAGAGAAUAUGAGAGGUAUCGCCAUCAUUGUUUUUCAGUCUGCAACUGUUAUAUAAAUAAUUACACUGUUUUCUGAAUUGGUUUUGACAUUGGCAUGCACUGAAAUUAACCACAUAAUUAAUUACAUUAGUUCCGUGGAUACCAAGACAAAUAACAUAGGUGUUAACAGAAACUGAAAUGUGGAAGAAUGGAAACCAUGCGACAAACACAAGAUGGAGUGGAAAUUGCUGCUGCCUUUCACCUGUCCACCUGACUGGGGUGGUGUUCGUAGAAUGAGGAGGCAGAAGUGAAGAGUACAGGAAAUGAGACCUUGUUUACAUUGCUGUCCACUAUGGCAGGAAGCAGCUAGGAGGAUUACACAAAAGGACAAUGUUUCAGAUUUCACAAUUUGGAUUUUUCUGAUAAAAUUUGGCCUUUAAUUCUGAAAUGCAGGAUUGAAAUUUAAACCCAAGUUCAAAAUGUGAUAUUCAAUUGUUUUGAGGCAGUGUGUGUGUGUGUCACUUUUUAAAGAAAAGCUUUCCUUAUUUUUCAUUGGUUUUUAAACAAAUACAAUAUUUUCCUAAUUAGCUGAUGGAUGAAAGUUAGUUGCUUGUCAAGUGCACAUAUUGGCAACUAUCCCAUCUGCUGCUCUAGGCAAGAUGAACAGCAACAGAUAUAACCAAGGAAGGAAAGUGAUCAGUCAGACACGCAUCUUCUUCCCAAAGGAAGGCAGGCGUGGGGCAGGUAAGCACUAAGUCUGUGCGGACAACCAAAGUAAGGGAAGCCUCAGGGUUCUGUCCUUCAAAAGGGGCCUGGUUUGCAUUAAGACACUCAUUACAUGCAUUCUCACCUUCAAUUUUACUGCUAUACACAAUGCACUUGGGCUUCAUCGCUGUGACUGUUAAAUGUGCAUGAGUGCAACUGAUUUCAGUAAAACAUCUGACCUUAAAAGUGAAUGCUAUACCUUUGUUUUCCUCACUUACUCCUCUUUAGGCAUAAGCUAAAGCUAUCUCUAGGUAAUAACACCAAAUAGGUUGUGAGUCUAUCAGAAUAUUUAUUUUGUGUGCAACAAAGGGCUUUCAUCUUACAUUUGAGAGCCGUGGCAGUGCUCCUUCUUCCUGCGAUCCUGGGAUAAUACAAGAUGCCACAGGGUGUAUAGAAAGAGUCCACACUGCAGAUCUUCCCCAUGCUAACUUCAUCCCUCAGAAACUUGAAGUGGCAUUGGCAGUAUGAAUUUGUCCAAUGUGCCCCACGGAUUCUAGUGCCAUCAUGAUGAUGCCAACGUAAUAUGACAUUCAAAGAUCACCUCUUAACUCAAACUGCAAGGGCUAAGUUAGUGUUGAUGCACUUUAUUGUUUAAUGUAUCUGACUGGUUUUUAUUUUAGUUCUGACUGAUAAAUGUACAUCCUCUAAAUGAAGUCAUACAUUAAAAUAGCAAAUGCUUUCAUUUUUAACAUUUGUGGAAAUAUGGUACAUGAACGUGCUAUUCCACACUUAUUCUUAAAUCUUGAUACAUCAACUGUUUUAAAAUGCCUCCUCUCUCUUUAUUUCCAGGUUGAUCUUUCUUGUUUGAUAAGCAGCCUCCUGUGUCUUUUCUGCUGGACCCUGAAAAAAUGGUGGGAUGUCAGGAAGAGUAAUGCCUUAAUUUAUGGACCAUUAAUAUUUAUUGUGUGCCAGUCGCUGGCAUUUUGAACACGGCAGCUGUAAAGAAGUUAAUAAAAGUGGAGGGGUGGGAAGCUAUAUAUUUAACAGAGCUGUGUAAAAUAAAUUUAUAGUGAAUAAUUCAUUUGAUGAAUUUAUCACUUUCUACUGUUGACAAAAUAUCUGGAUGGCAGUGCCCAGAUCGGUAGAUUUUAUUAUUCAGGAUCUGCAAAGUAAAGUACUACAAAUAAUUUCUCUUUCAUGUUGCUAUUCAAGCAGAUUCUGCUUUCCCCAACUUAUUGGGGACAUGAGCCAUCCGCUCCUCAGACAAAGGGCAAAACAGAGGAAUAAAAUUAUGAUAAACUCCAUCUUCUAGCUGGUCAUUAAAUCUUGCAAUGGAAUAAACUUAUAAUUAAGCAGUCCAGCAUUAAGCAGCAAAAAUACAAGGCAGAGAGAUACUGCUAUAGUAACCAGGUUACUCCUGGUUGGGAAUGAAACCAGAAGGGAGGACAUCAGAUAUCUCACCCCUCACAGACAUACCUCCCUCUCCCUAUCACACUUCAGAUUGUGGCAUCCAAAGUCUUCUCCCCAAUCUCUUCAAUUCCUCCUCUCUGCCGAAAAAGCCUGCACCGACACUCACACUGCCAAAAAUCUAGAAUCAAACACCACAAAGCCAGAGAGCUUUUAAAAAGAAAUAAAUCCAGAUUGUGAACACAAGGACAGAAAUUAUUUAUUUAUAAAAGCAUUUAUAUAUUGCUGUAUCAUGCGUGUGUGUGUGUGUCUACAGGGCUUUUUUUCUAAAAAAAAAAUGUUUAGGGGUACUCUCAUUUUCCUACUCCUAUUGAAAUACUGCCCCUCAAUGAGGCCAAACUUAGAUUCACAAAAUGUUUAGGGAUAUGCGUCCCCCCAGAAAAAAGCACUGUGUUUGUGUGUGUUACAGAGGUUUACAACAAUAUAAACACAUUAUCUAGUCUGCCCACCUGAAAGAGGCUACUCUCAGUAGCUCAUUCCCAGGUCAUUCUCUCACCAUGGACCUGGCUCUAAGCAAUCCAUCGAGUGUACACCAUCUCUUCCCUUCUUCACAGUGGGACAAGGAUCCCACUCUCUUGCCAAGAAAAAUAGGACAGUCCUGACCUUCCCUUUAAUAGCAUCUCCUUUGGGCCCCACCUGCAACAGACCCUGAAAAUCCCUAUCCUAGAAGUGGAAGGAUGAUCGACUCUGACUUCCCCCACCCUAUGUGCUUCUGAGUAGACCAAUGUUCUACUCAGAUGUAAACCCACUAAAAUCAAUGAGUUGAAUCUACUUUAUAAGAUUUCUGAAAGGCUUCAGUAAAACUUUCAGAUGACUGCGCAAAUGAAAACAAGAGUGCGAUACCAGAAUGAAUAAAUUAUCCCCUACGGAAAACUAAAGUGCACCUUAUGCUCAGCAGCAGUCAGUCACAGGCUUUAAACUUAGAAAAUUAGAAAAAUUAAAUGAUUAAAUCAAAAGAUAAAGCGUGACCACAUGCUGAAGGAUACAGUUAGAAGAAAUGCAAAUAUUGAAUACCACACCCAAUUGUGUUUGUCUUUUUUAGGAUUCCAGAGCAUGUUUCGCGAUAGCAGAGGGAGUUAUGAAACGCUGAGGCUGAGGGAUUUUUCAAUCCAGGUGAAAAGCUGCAAUUUAGUUUGCCUGGAUUUCCAUAUGUUGACAGGUAUGUACUGACAAUUACACAAAGCGAAUAACAGAAUAUGUGUCAAGAUGUUCUAAAAAUCCCCCAAAUACUAAUGAAAGCCUGCUUUGCAUGUAUUUACAAAUAGACUUUUAAUCAUACUCCUAAGUACACAGAGAAAAACAUGUGUUGUAGAGAAUGGCAGGCCUGAUGCUGUACCUAUGGGAUCAUGAAUCUCAAAGAAAGUAACAAACUCAGUAGCGUGAGCAGCUGUCAUUUAGCUUUUCUAGUCAUUUAACUAGGCAAUGAAUGCACAAAUCAGGAUUGCUGAUGUGAAUUGCAUUUUUAAAGGCAGAUGCAAUGCACUUUGAGUCUGUCACAACCUGGAUGGUUGUCGCAUUGAUCAUUAAAAUGACUCUCCCGAAUAGUUUCUCCCCAAAAGAGCCUGUUUGCUCCACCUUCAAAGGGACCUGCUUCAGAAAUCCCUUUAAAAAAGAAUAAUCAAGGUACAUUAUGAGAUGCAAAGAAUAUUUCUAUAAAACAACCUAACCCAGGAGGUAGGUCUAUGCUUGCCCUGUCCGGUCUUUAGAUAUUUAUGCACUAGAGCCCUUUUGCUUACAUACGGUUCCCAUAUUUCAAAAAGUGAAAAUCCGGACACAAAAGUUGUUGACUUUUUGGGGGGAAAGUUGGUGAGCUUUUUGAAAAACAACAACAACGUGAGCUAUUUUUAAUUUAAUUUAAUUUCCGCAGGGCCUGUAAGACAGAGUUGUUCCGCCUGGCCUUUGGCUUGGAGACAAUUUGAUUCCCUCCCCCUUUCUUUUCUCUUUUUCCUUUCUCCUCCUCUGAUGAGGCUGCAUUUUAAUAUUUUAAUCUUUCAAUAUUUUAAUCUUGUAUUUUAAUCUUGUUUUUAAGUUGUAUUCAUUCAACUUGUUUUUAUUAUUGCUUGUUAGCCACCCUGAGCCCGGCCUUGGCUGGGGAGGGCGGGGUAUAAAUAAAAAAAAAUAUUAUUAUUAUUAAUGAAAAUCUACAAUUCUGACAUGGACUGCCAUAUGUUCAGAGUUUCCCAGACAUUUGAGCAAUCUCUGCCUGGACACUGAAUACCAGCUAUGUCUGGGAAAGUCUGAACGAACGGCAACCCUAGCUUGCAAAAGGAGUUGGAUAGAUGGGAUGGGAAACUUGUUCUAUUUAUCAGCUUAAGUUUUUGAAGGGUUUUUUUUUUUAGUUUAUUAGGUCUGUAUGCACAUUUUUAAGCAUACUUUGAGGGAGAAGAGCUACUGCCUGGCAUGGAGAAGGUCCCCAACUCUCCAGGUCGGGGUCAGAAUGCUCCCUGUCCGAAACCCUACACAGCUACUACCAAACAGUGUAGACAAUACUGAACUAAAUGAGCCCCUGUUCCAACUCUACCUGAACAACUAUGGAAAGGUAGGAUAGUUCUUAAUAAAAGCUAUGCAUAUUUUCAGUUCUAUAAGAAUUCAAUUGGCACAUUUCUUCCCUUUAAUUUCUGAAGAAAAGUUAUAGAUUACAUACACACUUUAGAUACUGAACUGGAAUGAUGUCUACAGGUAUACCUAGCUCAGUUCACUGAAGCAAAUGUGAAAAAUGCAGGAAAGUGUGACUGGCAGUUCAGAAAAACCAAAAAUUCUGAGAAAUGUAAAAAGCAAACAAAACUGGGACUGGUGUUUCAGGGAAACGGACAAUUCAGAAAAAGGUGAAAACAGGAAACAACUGUGACCGGAGGGUCAGGAAUACCCAAAAUUCCACAAAAUGGGGGAAAGGCACAAAACUAUUAUCAGUGGAUUGGGAAGAUUGAAAAUUCAAAGAACAUCUGAGAAGCAAACAAAACCAUGGAAAACAGGUCAGGAAAACGGAAAAUUCCAAAAUAUGUGAAAAAUGAACAAAAUGGUGGGGUAAGAAAAAGCGAAAUUCCAAAAGAAAGAAAGAAAGAAAGAAAGAAAGAAAGAAAGAAAGAAAGAAAACCUUGACCUGCAGGUCACAAAAACUGAAAAUUCUGGCAAAACUGAGAGCAAACCAAACCAUGACCAGAGGAUCAGGAAAAUGGAAAAUUCCUGAAAACUGAAAAGUGAGGUCAGGAACCUCUCUCCCAUUAACCCAGACUAUUGACGAUACUGAUUGGGCUGAAGGAUGUUGGAGUUCAGCAACAUCUAGAGGGCUAAACAUCUCCUAUUGCUGCUGUACAUCUUUAGAAAUGAGUACAAGAAAAUGUCUUCGUGCUGGCAAAGGGGAUCAGAGUUUUAUUGAGCCUCUGAUGCGUCUGAUGGAUACACAGCUCACAUAUUCAGAGGCUGCAUUUUGCCUGAUGGGUUAAAAUUCUGCAAGGUUGAGCUACCUAUUCAUUUGUCUGUAGACUUUUGUUUACAAAAAAACAGUGCCUUAAAUUUUUUUGGAUAUUCACAAUGAGAUGAGGACUGAGGUACCAACUCCUCCUACAUACUCAUCAAUCCCCAGAAAACUUCUGCUAACAGCCAUUGCUACUCAAUUGAUGACCUUGAGGGAAAUUGCUGCAAUUUAUCUUAAGGCUAUUUCCUAUGAAGCAAAAGUUGUUAAGGCUAAGAUCUUGCUACAGAUGUGGGAGAAUAAUAUUCUGUCUUUUCAAAGCGUAUG